AGUCAUUGGCAUAGCAUUUCUAAUAUGCACUGCUGCAGAAAAUCAUGAUUUUAAGCUAUUCGUCUCCUAUAAUCAAGAGGCCAAUUUAUCAAGGCGGGAUGCAUAUGGAGCGCAAAGGGGAAAUUGCGCGAUGGAACUAUUUCACGGUAUUGUAGCAGAACUUGGAUUUCCCCGUUAAUUUUUUUUCUAUUACUAAGACAACUUUUCACUAGCGCAUUACGCUAUCAACAUUACAAACAGAGAGCAUCUUGCAAAAGCGAGAAAAACAGAGUGAUAUUUACGACAAUAACAUAAUCGCAAAGACGGCCGGUGAUUUUACCUUAUCGGCAGGAAACACGACAGGCCUAUGGAUAAUUGAAUACAAGAAUGUGUGACGAUAAAGGAAUCUGAAAGCCAAUAGAGGCUGGGGGCUCAGUGUCGACCCCAAUAGCCGGUCACAUAGGAUACGGGUACAGGUAGAAAGAGCGUCAUCAACGAUCGGCGACAAGAAAGGACAACAAAAAAGUCGUCAGAUAGGACAACCGAAUGCUCCACUUAGGUCUGUUCGAUCAGGGACGUACAUGUCGUACUACUGUGGCUAUCUAAUAAAGGCGGCGAUAUAUUUGCUCGCUGUCUGCGGAUGCUUCGUAGGCGGUUCCGUCGAUAGCUCAAUUAAGAUAAAUGCCAUUAAACAAUAUUUUCACUCAUCACUUGUUCGGGUAUUAAUUACCGACCUUUAUCGUUGUACAAAUGAAAAGUAAAAUUAUGUUAAGGACGCCAGAUGAUGAUGGCGGUAGUCGUGUAAGACAGGAAGGGGCCUCCUUGUCUAAAUGAUAGAUGCUCAGAGGCGAUUUUAUACUACGAUCUACUGAAAACGGCACCGAACCUUUUACAUAUAAUAGUUUUUUGCAGCCAUAGCCGAACGAAAGCCACGAGUAUGAACAUCGGUAAUUUUAUAGUCAUUCCUCAAAAUUGAAAUACUAUCACAUGUAUUUCUUUUACCUUUCUUUUAAUAUAGUCAGCUAUUUUCAUUAUCAAGCUAUUGUUGCUGCGCACAGGUUACCGGUUUUUAUUAUUGAGAUCGACAGAGGAAUCAAAUAUAUCACCAAAGGUUAUUUUCUUUCACGCAUAGAUCACACCGUUUCGGCUCAAUUCCAGCUGUUUCAGCGGCAUGUUUAUCUACACGCCAGUCUAGUCAGAUCAAUUUUCAGGAACGAACGAUUGUUAAAUUUAUAUAUAUAUAUAUUCAGAUAUGGAAAACUAUAUCCGUACACAACAAUCAAUUAGAUCCGAUGGUUAACAGUUGCUUUAGCUGGACUGCUCUGAAUAAAAUGUCAGCAGCGGCCAGUUUAGCCUUGUUUAUGUACAUAAAAGUAUAUGGAGAGAGAAAGAAAGAGAGAGAGGUAUAUGGAGAAAGAGAGAUCCAGUACCCGAUGGAACACAGAAAGUGGCUGCAUUUGGAAAAAUACUAUAAAUGAUACUCCCGCGACUGCGUUCGAUCAUCGACUAUCGACGUGAAACUGAUACGUCAUACAAUAAUCCGUUGUGAAGAACGGCGCCCUUAUGAAUUACAGCCGCCGCGCUAGUACAAUGUAAAACCUAUUACUGCUUUUAUUGCAACGCGUGAUAUUGUUAUUGUUGUUACUGCCGCUACUGUGUGAACAUUGUGUGUGUAAAUUUUGUAGUGUUGAUAUGUGGCGCUGUUUUUUUCCUAUUCCUUUGUUGCAGAUACGUAUUUAUUGUUUACUAUUGAUAGAUGUUUGUGUUAUACUUCAAGUGAUCCAUUCAUUGAUGAGUGGUGACCCGUGUUGUUGUCAGGAUCGACUUGCGCUGUCCUAUCCAACCAUCUCGUUGCAUCCUUGCCAACGAUGUUAGAGGACCGUUGACGAUCAGACGGGCAGUGAAACUGAGCAAUGCGAUUUCGACAUCACCGCCAAAUCCAUUCGACCAUGGAAGAGACCCUUGAUGGUAUAAAGGAAAGUAAAAGCUGUUUCGACGUUAAGCAUCUACCUGAGUUUCUACCGUAGUCAAGUCUUUGACACCCGACAUCUUCGUGGAGCAAAGGAUCAAGGGUUCUCACCGGUUGACAGUGCACAUUCUCUAUG